GAUUUGAUGAAAACGGUAUUAACUGUCAAUCAUAUGAGAACUAUUUUUCAUCUGCUGCAGAACAUUUUGUUGCCCUCUUAGAGGCAAAAAAUCGAAGCAUUUUGGGGAUGACUUAUAAGCAUUUAAAAGAAACAUUGAUGAAAAUUCAAGACUGUGGUUAUUUUACAAAUCAGUCUGUUCAAAAUACAGAUGAUGAUUCUACUGAAGAACAUCAAGCACUUUCUGAGGAGGAAAUCAAAGGAGAGAAAGAAGGAGAAAAGGAAGAGUUAAAUUCAGAAGUAGUGCAAAA